rnacentral:rRNA from 1 species
GACCUAGCAAUAGGUAUGCUUAGGGAGGAGCUUGCGUCACAUUAGUUAGUUGGUGGGGUAAAGGCCUACCAAGACUAUGAUGUGUAGCCGGGCUGAGAGGUUGAACGGCCACAUUGGGACUGAGACACGGCCCAAACUCCUACGGGAGGCAGCAGUAGGGAAUUUUCGGCAAUGGAGGAAACUCUGACCGAGCAACGCCGCGUGAACGAUGAAGUAUUUCGGUACGUAAAGUUCUUUUAUUAGGGAAGAAUAAAUGAUGGAAAAAUCAUUCUGACGGUACCUAAUGAAUAAGCCCCGGCUAACUAUGUGCCAGCAGCCGCGGUAAUACAUAGGGGGCAAGCGUUAUCCGGAAUUAUUGGGCGUAAAGGGUGCGUAGGCGGUUAAAUAAGUUUAUGGUCUAAGUGCAAUGCUCAACAUUGUGAUGCUAUAAAAACUGUUUAGCUAGAGUAAGAUAGAGGCAAGUGGAAUUCCAUGUGUAGUGGUAAAAUGCGUAAAUAUAUGGAGGAACACCAGUAGCGAAGGCGGCUUGCUGGGUCUUUACUGACGCUGAGGCACGAAAGCGUGGGGAGCAAACAGGAUUAGAUACCCUGGUAGUCCACGCCGUAAACGAUGAGUACUAAACGUUGGGUAAAACCAGUGUUGAAGUUAACACAUUAAGUACUCCGCCUGAGUAGUACGUACGCAAGUAUGAAACUUAAAGGAAUUGACGGGACUCCGCACAAGCGGUGGAUCAUGUUGUUUAAUUCGAAGGUACCCGAAAAACCUCACCAGGUCUUGACAUGCUUCUGCAAAGCUGUAAAAACACAGUGGAGGUUAUCAGUUGCACAGGUGGUGCAUGGUUGUCGUCAGCUCGUGUCGUGAGAUGUUGGGUUAAGUCCCGCAACGAGCGCAACCCUUAUUGUUAGUUACCAGCACGUAAUGGUGGGGACUUUAGCAAGACUGCCAGUGAUAAAUUGGAGGAAGGUGGGGACGACGUCAAAUCAUCAUGCCCCUUAUGACCUGGGCUACAAACGUGAUACAAUGGCUGUUACAAAGGGUAGCUGAAGCGCAAGUUUUUGGCGAAUCUCAAAAAAACAGUCUCAGUUCGGAUUGAAGUCUGCAACUCGACUUCAUGAAGUUGGAAUCGCUAGUAAUCGCGAAUCAA